rnacentral:SRP_RNA from 1 species
GACUCGGACCCAUGCGGCUCCAACGCCCAAACCUUGUCAGGCCUUGAUCGGAGCAGCAAUACGGGAUGCUUGUGGCAGGCGUGGAAUCCGGGUCACU